rnacentral:rRNA from 1 species
UUGGAGGGCAAGUCUGGUGCCAGCAGCCGCGGUAAUUCCAGCUCCAAUAGCGUAUAUUAAAGUUGUUGCAGUUAAAAAGCUCGUAGUUGAAUUUCGGGAUCAAUAUAUUGGUCAUGCUUAGGUAUGUACUGGUAUUAUUGAUUUCUCCCUUCUGAAGAACCAUGAUGUCAUUUAUUUGAUGUCGUGGGGAAUCAGGACUGUUACUUUGAAAAAAUUAGAGUGUUUAAAGCAGGCUUUCGCUUGAAUACAUUAGCAUGGAAUAAUGAAAUAGGACGUUUGAUUCUAUUUUGUUGGUUUCUAGGAUCGACGUAAUGAUUAAUAGGGAUAGUUGGGGGCAUUAGUAUUCAAUUGUCAGAGGUGAAAUUCUUGGAUUUAUUGAAGACUAACUACUGCGAAAGCAUUUGCCAAGGAUGUUUUCAUUAAUCAAGAACGAAAGUUAGGGGAUCGAAGACGAUCAGAUACCGUCGUAGUCUUAACCAUAAACUAUGCCGACUAGGGAUCGGAUGAUGUUAAUUUUUUAAUGACUCAUUCGGCGCCUUACGGGAAACCAAAGUGUUUGGGUUC